UUCUCAGAUGGUUAGCAGAGUGAUGCACCAUCGGUCACACGUCUUUGUCAACAAUUAAUUGAGGACAGCCAAUUCAGUUUUCAGUAAACGUUUAUAGUUAGGAUCUGACUUCUGAUCAGCUGCAUAUAUGAUAUUGUGAGUGCGCGUGUGUGUGCAGGUUGCAGUUACACUGCGUUCCUGGACGGAGAACUGAGUUUUGUCCUUAAACGUCGUGAUCACGUCGCGAUAAUCAGUACUCUUCCAUAUUUUUGAUUUUUGUAGAGUCAUCCCAAGGAAUACAUCCUUAAAUUCGGGCAGCCGGCCCGCUUAGCCGAUGGUCUGGGCCGAAUGUUAAGGCGUAGUCUACGUCGACGCAGGCCACAAGCCCACAAGCAGCUUCGGUCUUCGCAGAACCCUGCCAAAUCGAAACAGGCGAAGUCGUUCAUCCUCCACGCUCGCCGCCGGCCGCCGGCUGCCGCGCCGCGGUCCAGACCCUGCUCCCACGCAGACGUCCCCUACCAUUUCGCCUCGUACGCUCCACUCCCCAGACCUCCCAUCCGCCGCCGCCAGUCUGCCUGCCUCACGUUCCCAAGCUACAUGAUAUCUCCCCACCUCCCCCUCCGGCUCCGGCACCUCCGCCGCCUUCUCGCGGCCGCGCCCUCGUUCUCUCCCUCCGAGCCCUGCUCCCUGCCGCUAAACCUCACCCAAACCCCGCCCCCGCGGCGCCAUCUCCCGAACCUUCUUCCGGUGCGGCGGUUCUCCUCGGGGCACGUCCUCCUCCCCACCAACCUCCAGGAGGAGCGCGUCGCGUCUCUCUCGGACAGGAUCUACGACGCCGUGACGGGGACAGAGGAGGGCUCCAACGAUGGCACGGAGGCCGCCCUCGACGCGUUGGGCGCCGAGCUGACCACCCCGCUCGUGUCCGACGUCAUGCACCGCCUCCGCUACGAGGAGAAGCUGGCCUUCCGCUUCUUCGCCUGGGCCUCCCAGCAGGACAACUACGAGCAUGACCAGGCGGCGUACAACGAGGUCAUCGACACACUCUCCGGCACGCGGUACAAGGCCCGCCAGUUCGGCGUCCUCUGCGACGUGCUGGACCACAUGAAGCGCCACCGCACGAGGUCGGUGCCGGUUGAGGACCUGCUGGCCAUCCUGCGCGCGUACACGGAGAAGCACCUCACCAACCUCAGGAAGCUGGCGAAGAAGCGGCGGGUGCGGAUGCGCACGCCGCCCGAGACUGAUGCGCUGAACAUCCUUCUUGACGCCUUCUGCAAGUGCGGCAUGGUCAGGGAGGCGGAGACGGUGUUUGGCCGUGUGAAGAGGAAGCUGCAGGGAAAUGCCGAGACGUACAACAUCCUGUUUUUCGGAUGGUGCCGAGCAAGGGACCCCAAGAAGGCGAUGAAGGUGCUUGAGGAAAUGAUUCUGAUGAAGCACGCCCCAGAGAGCUUCACGUACAUUGCUGCUAUUGACUCAUUUUGCAGCGCUGGGUUGGUCUCAGAGGCAAAGGAGUUGUUUGAGUUCAUGAGGACCGAGGGAUCGUCGAUAUCGUCUCCUACUGCUAAGGCAUACUCCGUGAUGAUCGUGGCACUUGUAAAGGCUGAUCGGAUGGAUGAUUGUUUUGAACUGAUUUCCGAUAUGAUAAAACUCGGCUGCAUGCCUGAUGUAUCAACCUUUAAAGACUUGAUUGAAGGCAUGUGCUUGGUGGAUAAAAUCGAUACUGCCUACUUUGUGCUGGAGGAGAUGGGGAAGGCUGGGUUUCCUCCAGACAUUGUCACUUACAAUUGCUUUCUUGAGGUGCUCUGUAAUCUUCAAAAGGCCGAUGAUGCGCUCAAACUCUGCGAGAGGAUGAUAGAGGCGCAUUGUGAGCCCAGUGUUCAUACUUACAAUAUGCUGAUGGUGAUGUUCUUUCAGAUGAGAGAGCCACACAGGGCACUUGAUAUUUGGCUUGAGAUGGACAAGAGAGGAUGCAGGCGUGCUGUUGAUACCUAUGAAAUAAUGAUUGAUGGGCUGUUUGAUUGUGGAAGAACAGAAGAUGCAACCAAUCUUCUAGAUGAAGUAAUAAAUCAUGACAUGAAACUAUCGUACAAGAAGUUCGAUGCCAUCAUGCUGCAAUUAUCAGCUGUAGGCAACCUUGGCGCCAUACAUCGGCUUUCGGAGCAUAUGAGAAAGUUUUACAAUGUUGCAAUGUCAAGACGUUUUUCAAUCACACAGAAAAAGAAGAGCAUUGGUAUGAGAAGGAGAUGACUUCUAUGAGAUCUCUUGUUAGCACAGACAAUCAAGAGCUUAUAUGAGGGUAGUUGAUGCAUGUCUACACAUUUCGUUGGAGCAAUUGGCAGCGGAAGAAGCACUACCAUGUACUGAAAUGGUCUGCACAGAUGUGACAGCUAUUGCUGAGAAAGUGACAAUACGUCAGGGGACAAAAUUUCAUGGCGGGACUUGCUUCCUUCCUAGUCUCGGACUCUCGGCAUCAGCGGUUCGGUGCUGCUGUGUGACCUGUGAGCUAGUCAGCCAAAGCUAGGACGGCAUGGCUGCAUACUGAGAACCUGGGGGCAGAGUCACGCCGAAGAAGUUCCGGGACCAAGAGCUCAGGAUACCACCGUGCAGACGUGCAGUCCAGGCGAAUGCGCUGAAGCUGAAGCCUCAUGGCAGGGCCCGGCCGGCGACUGCGGCGAGUAUCCCAAGUUUUUCAUGAGUCCCGAGGCAAAGUAUGGCUGCUUCUGACGGAAAAGAUACCUCUGCCAAGUGAUCUUCAGUUUUCAUCGCAUGCGUUGCAUGAUUCUUUAGGUCAUGUCACUUUUUUUCAUAAGAUAUUCUGGUUUUGUUCUUUAGAGAAAAAAAUUCUAUCAAUAUCUAUGACUCUAUAUUGGUUUUAUUAAAUCCCUUAUGAUGUAUACUCUGUA